rnacentral:tRNA from 1 species
GGGCGAUUAGCUCAGUUGGUUCAGAGCAUCUGGUUUACACCCAGAGGGUCGGGAGUUCGAGUCUCUCAUCGCCCACAA